AUUGAACGCUGGCGGCAUGCUUUACACAUGCAAGUCGAACGGGCUUAGGUGCUUGCACCUAAGUUAGUGGCGAACGGGUGAGUAAUGCAUCGGAACGUACCGUGUAGUGGGGGAUAACCCGGCGAAAGUCGGAUUAAUACCGCAUACGAUCUAAGGAUGAAAGCAGGGGAUCGCAAGACCUUGCGCUAUACGAGCGGCCGAUGUCGGAUUAGCUAGUUGGUAGGGUAAAGGCCUACCAAGGCAACGAUCCGUAGCGGGUCUGAGAGGAUGAUCCGCCACACUGGGACGGAGACACGGCCCAGACUCCUACGGGAGGCAGCAGUGGGGAAUUUUGGACAAUGGACGAAAGCCUGAUCCAGCCAUGCCGCGUGAGUGAAGAAGGCCUUCGGGUUGUAAAGCUCUUUUGUCCGGGAGCAAAUCCUGUUCACUAAUACUGAGCGGGGCUGAGAGUACCGGAAGAAUAAGCACCGGCUAACUACGUGCCAGCAGCCGCGGUAA
rnacentral:rRNA from 1 species